rnacentral:rRNA from 1 species
ACGUAAUAGAUACCCCGGUAGUCCACGCCCUAAACGAUGUCUACUAGUUGUUGGUGGAGUAAAAUCCAUGAGUAAACGCAGCUAAACGCGUGAAGUAGACCGCCUGGGGAGUACGGUCGCAAGAUUAAAACUCAAAUGAAUUGACGGGGGCCCGCACAAGCGGUGGAUUAUGUGGAUUAAAUUCGAUGCAACGCGAAAAACCUUACCUGGCCUUGACAUGUAACGAACUUUCCAGAGAUGGAUUGGUGCUCGAAAGAGAACGUUAACACAGGUGCUGCAUGGCUGUCGUCAGCUCGUGUCGUGAGAUGUUGGGUUAAGUCCCGCAACGAGCGCAACCCUUG